GAGCACGUAGGUGGGUUUGUAAGUCAGAUGUGAAAGCCUUCUGUUCAACGGAAGAAUUGCAUCUGAAACUGCUAAUCUUGAGUAUAGGAGGGGAGAAUGGAACUUCUGGUGGAGCGGUGAAAUGCGUAGAUAUCAGAAGGAACGCCGGCGGCGAAAGCGAUUCUCUGGCCUAUUACUGACACUCAGUGUGCGAAAGCUAGGGGAGCAAACGGGAUUAGAUACCCCGGUAGUCCUAGCCGUAAACGAUGGGCACUAAGUAGAGGGG
rnacentral:rRNA from 2 species